CAGGUGCAUGCCUCUAGCAUGAAUCAG
rnacentral:rRNA from 1 species